AACAGGUUAAUAUUCCUGUACUUAGUAUGUCUCGCUUGACUUGAUGGAGUGACGGAGAAAGGUAGCAAAGCCACCUGUUGGAUGGUGGUUUAAGCACGUAGGGGGACUGGAUAGGUAAAUCCGUCUGGUUGUUAACCCUGAGAUGCGAAUACGAGGCGUAAGCCGAAGUUUGUGAUCCUCUGCUUCCCAGAAAAACUUCGCAAGGAGAGAUAUAUUAAUCCGUACCGUAAACCGACACAGGUAGAUGAGGAGAGAAUCCUCAGGCGCUUGGGAGAACUCUAGUUAAGGAACUCUGCAAAUUGGAGCCGUAACUUCGGGAUAAGGCUCGCCCUUGUUGGUGAUAUCACUUGCUGAUAAAGCUGAUGGGGGCCGCAGUGAAAAGGGGG
rnacentral:rRNA from 1 species